CAUUAUAUACAUUAUAAGCAUAAAAUGAGUUUAAUGUAUGUGCUUUGAAAAGAAGGGGAAAACAGAAAAUCAGGGAGGACUGAUUUUAAUGCUGCUCAAAAUGAUUUUGAAAUUUUCUGUUCAUCUUUGUUACUAACGGUGCAUUUUCCAUGAAAUUUAGGAAUGACAUGUGGUGCUUUCAUCUCCUUAAAUUUAAUAUACUUCUCUUUCUGUUUUCCUCAAUUUCUUCAAAGUUCUUUUUAGAACACUGUGCAAAGAGACAGAGAGAAAAUUCUCCUCUCAAUGAGUGAAUAUAUCUGUUUUUAAUGCUGGGGGGAGUUAAGUGUGUGCUUCUAGAGGAGAAUAUACCCCUGCAUUAAAUAUUGAAAUAAACAGUAUUAAAGAGGUGCAAGGAUAUUUGGCUGCAGCACACCUGAUGCAUUCAAGGGCCAAAUUCCUUAGAAUCUUUUAAAGUGAUUAAGAUCUUUUCUGUUAAGAGUUCUCCAAUGAUUUCAGAGUAUAACUGUACCUAAAUAGCUGAUGAAAUGUCCUGCUCUUGUCUUUUGAAAAGCUUUCUUUUAUGUUUUAUUGUUUUCUUUUUUGUUGCUGUUGUAGUCAUUUGGUUUAUGUUGAGCAUCGUAUUUUCAAGACAAAGUUAAAAAUUUAAAGAAUAAUUUCCUCCUGCUAGCACAUAAUGCUGACUAAGUAUUUCAAAAUCUACAGCACUUGCAGAAUGCAAGCAUUAUGCUUAUAAUUUUUAUAAUGAUUCUAGACAAUAUAAGGACACUGGGAUUCUUCCUAUUUUGAUAUAUAAAGUGGCGAGCAAAUGCAGAAGUCUCCAUGGUGUUGUGUGUCUGCAGGAAAUGUUCUGAUACUUCUACAACUCUCUUAAACAAAUGUUAAAGCUUUGUAAUGGACCUGGCAAUGGAGAAUGACCAUGAAAUUCCCUUAACCCUUAUAGGGCACUUCAGCAGGAGAAGUGAUCACACAAGAAACAAUAAACUGCUCUUCAAAGGCAGUAUCCUGAUAUGACAACAGACGUAGAUAAUGCACUUCAUGAUGGAACUGCUUGAUACAGGGAAAAACAUGUUGUAACUGCCUUCAGUAUGAAAGGGGUUUAAAAAUGCUGCUUGCCAACUCCACAAAAAACAGAGCUGCUAUUUCAGUUAAAGGCCAGUGGAUUGUAUUUUUCAUGUCAGUUUUCACUAACCUCAAACAUCACUGUUAUGACAGACUGUCAUCCAACCAAACCAGCACUGUGAUGCCAUUCAGGCAAGAAGGAAGAAAGCAAACACAAAGGAAACUUAGAAGUCCGAAUAGUGAGAGGGGGUGUCUGUGAGUGCACUUUUGUGCAGUGAUACUGAUUACUGAAAAUGAAACACUUAAAAGAAAAUAAACCCAAAAAAGUGCUUUCUGAGCCAUUGGUGUUUUCUUGCCUGCCCAUUUCUCUUUGUUCUGUUUCAUGACAUCAGCCUUAAUGGUUGAAAGGAUGUUCUGGGCCAGAUGUCAAUCGCUAUGUCUAACAUAAACAAAAAUAGCUAAAAAGACAUGCCAGCAUCUUCCUUUUGUUUUCCCAUUAGCUCCAUUUUUCUUUUCAGAGGCUGACAAAAAAUUACUGCCUCCGAGUGAAUUCAGUAAUGUCACUAUAUAUCUAAUAUCUAGGAGACCUUUUGUUUUAGCUUUACUGGGCUUAACCACAAAAGACACUUGACAUUGACAAAGAGUCUGUCAAAUACACAAUGAUCAGUGCAAUGAAAUCUCUCAUGACAGAAGGGCACUAUUCUGCACCCCCAGUCCGCAGCAGCCUGUCUGAGCAAAAUGUGCCGGAGCACACGCAGCAGCUGAACCAUUGCAGAGCAGGCCAUAAGCUGAGAUGUGUCUUGUUUAAAGUGUCAUAGUAUAUUAGUGUAAUUAAAACCGCCAAAAGAAUAGAAAAGAUAGAUGGAAAUGUUACAUUACUUGUUUCUAGAGAUUAACCUCCAGCCAGAACUGAAAUACAGAGACACAUUUUGCAUGUCUUAGAGCUCUGAUAUGGAAGAAAACAAGCCUGAGAGUAUGUCUCUUGAAGUGUGAGACAUGAAGUCAUAGUUCCUGUAUUUACACAAUAAAGCAGAAAUAGCGUUUCAGACAGGCACGCUGUUUUCUCUCUGAUUACAGCUCCUGUUGUGGCUGUACUCUGCAAAGCAGCUGUAUCAUCUCUCAGCUACUUCCCUUUUACUCUCUCUGCCUUCAUGCUUGGAAGGUCUUGAGGACCCGUGGCCCACGAAUGUGCUGGUGUCAAUGCUUUCUGCUCCCUUGGCAUCUGCCAAUAUUGUGUGGUUCUAGCCUGGAGGCAGAGCACCCUGUCUGCUCUGGUGGCUGCAGAAGCCAGAGCUCAGCUCCAGACUCAGCAACAGCCAGCUAGGAAGAUGUUUGAAGAAUCUGACCUUUGUAUAUACCAGGCUGCGUGCUUGCUUCUCUGUUGAGUCUAUAGAUAAAACUGCAUGGCUUUCUGAAAUGGACCCUGAAAAUUAUGUUUUUGGCACUGUAUGUGUUCCUUCAUGUGCAUCAUUACUUGUGAUAACUAUUCAAGCCUAACUAGUUAUCUAGAUCUCUGUUUCUAACUAGAUCUCUGUUUCUAACCGUGACACAAGUUAUAUCUGGUGGUGAGAAAUUUUUGGAGUUUUUUAUGGAGCUGUUCAGCUGUAUAGGCUGAACCUUGGUUUAUCUAGAAUCUGGAGAGGACCUGAUCUGGCUUCAGCAGUUCUGAAACACUACAAAAGCAGCAUGGCUUUCUUCUAAUAUAAGUCUUAAUGCAAGGAGAAGAUGCAUUAAUCAGAUUCAUCUCAGUGACUGUGAAAUUCCUGAGGAUGUUAUCACUUUCAAGUCAGAUUAACAGAGUAAUUUCCAGUUACCACCAGUGAAGAGAUUCCUACCAAUGCUGGCAGGCAAUUGUUCAGUCUUAUGGAGCUUCAAAUAACUGUACAGCUUGAAAGUCUGAGCAUUACACGCCUUCUUUGAAGACCUACCAGACAGAACCCCCAAAGGUCCUUUGUUUUGUAGUUCACCGUGCAGUGAGCCAAACAGUGGAUCUGUGGGUGCUUUUGGGUCACCUUCGUCUUGGGCCUUUCUUCUGAGAGACCAUCUCUGUUUAGACUGGAGUCCUUCUGAACUGUGGGAAAGAGCUCUUCCAGCUGCCGAGUGGUGACCCCAGACAUCAUCCUCAGGAGAUGUCCCAGAGCAUCUGUCUGAACUGUGAGGUUGCUUUCAGCAACUUGUGCAUUUCUGCUUUGAGUGAUCAUCAGGGGAGGGUAUGGAUGGUACUCGAAUCCUGACCUACGUCUCACACUGUUGUUCUAGACCCUGGUGCAAGCUGGUUUGCUGGACUUUGCCUGCUUUGGCAGUGUGCGCAGCACGGAGCUUGCAGGAGCUGCUCACUGCUUGACAACCGUGCAACCAUGCUACCAGAACUCCUGAUACUACUCUUAAAGUGGACCUUUCUUUGAGAAAGCAAAUGAUUCCAUCUUUUUUGAUCAGGUUCUUCCUCUAGAGGAGUUCCUGCAGCUACAGGACCAGGAGGUAAGACCCUUGGUUUCAAUUGUAGAGGGGAAGAAUGAAUGAGAUUGCCAAAUACACUAAGUUUGCAGUCAAUGAGCUGAGAAAAGCAUGACUGCAAGCUACCUUUCUGCUUUCCAAAUCCUGGACUGGUGGAAAAUCAAAACAUUGUUUAGGUCAGCUUGCAGGCAUAGAGUAUACUUCACCUCCCAUGAACUGGGGAUGGAAAGUAAAGGAAGGACUGUUGCAGAGCUGCUGGUUCUCCUCUCUCCAAAGACUUCCUGCUGAGGAGAAUCCUCAGUUGUCCAUUUAGGGUAGUAUUAGAGCUGAGCUGAACUGCUAAGGCAUGCAAAGAAGCUGCAGAUGGGACUGGGAGUACAGCUCCACACUUCUCUGUUGAGCCACCCAGUUGCAGCAAAUGCCUGAUAUAGGUGGGUACGGAGGCUGUUGGUAAUGGCUAGAGGCAGAGAAAUGGGUCUGGUUUUAAUAAAAAGGUAGUUUACGAACAGCAUUUUUCUUAUUUUAAUGAUAAAAUGGAUAUGAAACAGUUACACUCCAGGCCCUUAUUUUUCAGUGCUAUUAUUUUUUUAGAACAUUGAAAACA